AGAGUUUGAUCAUGGCUCAGAUUGAACGCUGGCGGCAUGCUUUACACAUGCAAGUCGAACGGUAACGCGGGGGCAACCCUGGCGACGAGUGGCGAACGGGUGAGUAAUACAUCGGAACAUGUCCUGGAGUGGGGGAUAGCUCGGCGAAAGCCGGAUUAAUACCGCAUACGCUCUGAGGAGGAAAGCGGGGGACCGUAAGGCCUCGCGCUGCGGGAGUGGCCGAUGUCGGAUUAGCUAGUUGGUGAGGUAAAGGCUCACCAAGGCGACGAUCCGUAGCUGGUCUGAGAGGAUGAUCAGCCACACUGGGACUGAGACACGGCCCAGACUCCUACGGGAGGCAGCAGUGGGGAAUUUUGGACAAUGGGGGCAACCCUGAUCCAGCCAUGCCGCGUGAGUGAAGAAGGCCUUCGGGUUGUAAAGCUCUUUCGGACGGAACGAAAAGGUUAGCGUGAAUAACGCUGACUAAUGACGGUACCGUAAGAAGAAGCACCGGCUAACUACGUGCCAGCAGCCGCGGUAAUACGUAGGGUGCGAGCGUUAAUCGGAAUUACUGGGCGUAAAGAGUGCGUAGGCGGUUCUCCAAGUCCGUUGUGAAAGCCCCGGGCUCAACCUGGGAAUGGCAGUGGAAACUAGGGGACUUGAAUCUGGCAGAGGGGGGUGGAAUGCCGCGUAGCAGUGAAAUGCGUAGAGAUGCGGCGGAACACCGAUGGCGAAGGCAGCCCCCUGGGCUGAGAUUGACGCUCAGGCACGAAAGCGUGGGGAGCAAACAGGAUUAGAUACCCUAGUAGUCC
rnacentral:rRNA from 1 species